CGACGGCAGCACGGACUUCGGUCUGGUGGCGAGUGGCGAACGGGUGAGUAAUAUAUCGGAACGUACCCUGGAGUGGGGGAUAACGCAGCGAAAGUUGCGCUAAUACCGCAUACGAUCUACGGAUGAAAGUGGGGGCUCGCAAGACCUCAUGCUCGUGGAGCGGCCGAUAUCUGAUUAGCUAGUUGGUAGGGUAAAAGCCUACCAAGGCUUCGAUCAGUAGCUGGUCUGAGAGGACGACCAGCCACACUGGGACUGAGACACGGCCCAGACUCCUACGGGAGGCAGCAGUGGGGAAUUUUGGACAAUGGGGGCAACCCUGAUCCAGCAAUGCCGCGUGAGUGAAGAAGGCCUUCGGGUUGUAAAGCUCUUUUGUCAGGGAAGAAACGGUGAAGGCUAAUACUCUUUGCUAAUGACGGUACCUGAAGAAUAAGCACCGGCUAACUACGUGCCAGCAGCCGCGGUAAUACGUAGGGUGCAAGCGUUAAUCGGAAUUACUGGGCGUAAAGCGUGCGCAGGCGGUUAUGUAAGUCAGAUGUGAAAUCCCCGGGCUCAACCUGGGAAUGGCAUUUGAGACUGCAUGGCUAGAGUGUGUCAGAGGGGGGUAGAAUUCCACGUGUAGCAGUGA
rnacentral:rRNA from 1 species